AAACCAUGGCGGGGACACUAUCUUAAUAAACUUUUGAAUCAGUCCCAUGCUUCAAAUAACGAUUCUUCAUCUGCCUGAGCAAAACUUGUAAUACAUUUCCUCAUAU